CGGCGUGACGGUAUCCAACCAGAAAGCCACGGCUAACUACGUGCCAGCAGCCGCGGUAAUACGUAGGUGGCAAGCGUUAUCCGGAUUUAUUGGGCGUAAAGCGAGCGCAGGCGGUUUUUUAAGUCUGAUGUGAAAGCCCUCGGCUUAACCGAGGAAGCGCAUCGGAAACUGGGAAACUUGAGUGCAGAAGAGGACAGUGGAACUCCAUGUGUAGCGGUGAAAUGCGUAGAUAUAUGGAAGAACACCAGUGGCGAAGGCGGCUGUCUGGUCUGUAACUGACGCUGAGGCUCGAAAGCAUGGGUAGCGAACAGGAUUAGAUACCCUGGUAGUCCAUGCCGUAAACGAUGAAUGCUAGGUGUUGGAGGGUUUCCGCCCUUCAGUGCCGCAGCUAACGCAUUAAGCAUUCCGCCUGGGGAGUACGACCGCAAGGUUGAAACUCAAAGGAAUUGACGGGGGCCCGCACAAGCGGUGGAGCAUGUGGUUUAAUUCGAAGCAACGCGAAGAACCUUACCAGGUCUUGACAUCUUUUGAUCACCUGAGAGAUCAGGUUUCCCCUUCGGGGGCAAAAUGACAGGUGGUGCAUGGUUGUCGUCAGCUCGUGUCGUGAGAUGUUGGGUUAAGUCCCGCAACGAGCGCAACCCUUAUGACUAGUUGCCAGCAUUUAGUUGGGCACUCUAGUAAGACUGCCGGUGACAAACCGGAGGAAGGUGGGGAUGACGUCAAAUCAUCAUGCCCCUUAUGACCUGGGCUACACACGUGCUACAAUGGAUGGUACAACGAGUUGCGAGACCGCGAGGUCAAGCUAAUCUCUUAAAGCCAUUCUCAGUUCGGACUGUAGGCUGCAACUCGCCUACACGAAGUCGGAAUCGCUAGUAAUCGCGGAUCAGCACGCCGCGGUGAAUACGUUCCCGGGCCUUGUACACACCGCCCGUCACACCAUGAGAGUUUGUAACACCCGAAGCCGGUGGCGUAACCCUUUUAGGGAGCGAGCCGUCUAAGGUGGGACAAAUGAUUAGGGUGAAGUCGUAACAAGGUAGCCGUAGGAGAACCUGCGGCUGGAUCACCUCCUUU
rnacentral:rRNA from 1 species